rfam:Anopheles culicifacies strain species A-37_1 cont1.9508, whole genome shotgun sequence.
AAAACGGUCCUUUUCAGGACCACCAAAAGAUUAUUUGAAGAUAUUU